GCCACAGUGGUCUAGCGGUUAGAACGCUGGCCUUGUAAUCCUGAGGUCUCGGGUUCGAUUCCCGGCGGUGCCC
rnacentral:tRNA from 1 species